rnacentral:rRNA from 1 species
AUGAAGGAACUAGGUCUUCGGGAGGAGGAUCUAGAUGACGUGAUGUUUGAUGAAAAAGAGGCCCCGGUAGAGGCGGCGCGGUGGAUUGCUCUCGCUAGGGUUCACUCGCCAAAGACCUAUAGCCAAUAUUGGUUUUUCAAAAACAUGAGGGCCGCUUGGGAUCUUGCUCAGGAGGUGCAGUUCAAGCCUUUGGAAGAUAAUCUAUACACGGUGCAGUUCUCUUGCUUGGGUGAUUGGGAG